AUCCACCUGAUGAGUCCCAAAUAGAACGAAACGUGCUUCCUGGAU
rfam:Schistosoma mattheei strain Denwood, Zambia genome assembly, scaffold: SMTD_scaffold0003533